rnacentral:rRNA from 1 species
GAUGAACGCUGGCGGCGUGCCUAAUACAUGCAAGUCGAGCGAACGGACGAGGAGCUUGCUUCUCUGAUGUUAGCGGCGGACGGGUGAGUAACACGUGGAUAACCUACCUAUAAGACUGGGAUAACUUCGGGAAACCGGAGCUAAUAACGGAUAAUAUAUUGAACCGCAGGGUUCAAAAGUGAAAGACGGUCUUGCUGUCACUUAUAGAUGGAUCCGCGCUGCAGUAGCUAGGUGGUAAGGUAACGGCUUACCAAGGCAACGAUGCAUAGCCGACCUGAGAGGGUGAUCGGCCACACUGGAACUGAGGCACGGUCCCGACUCCUACGGGAGGCAGCCGUAGGGAAUCUUCCGCGAUGGGCGAAAGCCUUACGUAGCAACGCCGCGUGAGUGAUGAAGGUCUUCCGAUCGUAAAACUCUGUUAUUAGGGAAGAACAUAUGUUUAAUUAACUUUUCACAUCUUGACGGUACCUUCUCAGAAAGCCACGGCUAACUUCGUG